CUAUAAAUAAUUAUAGAAAUAAAGAUUAGUAGUCCAUGUGCUAUAGUUAUAGUUUGAGAGCAAGAGAAUUUAUCCAGUCCAAUUAGGAAGGUGUCCCAUGGGGCAACAAAAAUGGGCUUAUAUUCCUACAUCCUGGAUCUACUGGAAUCUGGACUUCAACUACACUCAGACAUUUCAAAGGAAUCUGGUAGCAUUUCUGUUCUCAAACCUGUUGCAAAGCUUUCUGAUAACCUGUCUGGAUUGAAGAGAAUCAGCUGAACAAGCUGGCAUUUGGAGAGUUUACAGGAUAGAGAGUACCGGGGCUUGGGGCUCUAAGUGGACAGCCAUCUCCCUUCUGGCUCAUCCCCAGCUGAGGAUUGCUGCAAAGAGAAAUAGUCACUGGACAUGAGCCAGGGCACCAGUCAGCUUAACCAAAGGAAUCAAUGGACACUGUGUUUUUCCCCUGCAAAUGAGGAAAAUGACAUGGUGAGAAGGCAUAUGCCUUGUCCAGAAUCACAAAUCCCAGGGGCAGAGAAAGCAGCAAGAAAUGUUGCCUCAGAAGGAGCUUUUUCCCAUCGUGAGGAUGCUUGGAGCCUGGCCUUGAGUGAGGAGUGAGAUGCUGCUCUUCAGCUCCUAGGCAGUGGAGGUCCUGCAUGUUUUUAUGAGCCAUGGACAGUGAGUAGCCAUUCAAAAGGCUAAAGCUGCCUCUUAGAAAAAGGCAAAUAUUUUAGGAAUCCCUUGUUACUAGGCAAAGGUCUGUUCGCUUUUGAGGGGAGUGAGACUCAGCUUGAUGCUCUGUGUGUAGGGCUUCAAGCUUUGAUUCUGAUUUUGCUUCAGUGGAAUAGUGGUUCUCAGUUUUGGCUUCAUAUUAGAAUUAGUUAUGGAGCUCUAAAAACUACAGAUGUCCCGGCCCCACUUCCAGAAGGCUGGCUUCAAUUGGCCUAUAAUAAAUAGGACUGAGAUGUCAGUGUUGUUAAAAAAGCUCUUAGUGAUUUUAGUAUGCAGUUUAGGAUUGAGAAGAAGCCUCCUUCUUAUGUUUCCUCUCCUCUCAGCUGGUAAGAACUAAGCCACAAGACAAAACUAUCCCCCAAAAAUAUUUCUCAGACUUUAGGGAAUUAUCUGGGGAUCUCGUUAAAAUGCAGGUUCUGAUUCAGGAGGUCUGAGAUAGGGCCUGAAAUUCUGAUUUCUAACAAUCUCUCAGAUGAUGCUGACACUGCUGGUCUCAAGACUGAUAGUCUAGAAGUGGUCCUCCUAUUUCACUGAACAUAAAAAUGACCUGAUAAGCCUGUUGAAAAAGCAGAUUCCAGGGCUGAUUCAGAAUGUCAGGAAUGGAGUCCAGGAAGUUCAUCUAUAACAACUUUUCAGUGUUUUUGGGCAUCAUGGUUAUGCAGCCACAAUGCUCUGGGGGUCUCUCCUUGGAUCUUACACUGCUUGUUUUGGCUUACGGACCAGUGCAUACUUUUAUGGCCAUUCAUUACUACAGGAAUGAAAAUAAGGCCCUUGAACCACUCCCCACCAUCCUAAAGCAGCUUCUUCUUACAUGGCCUUGGAUCAGCUCGCCAUCCACGUCCAACAGAACAAAUGCUAGCACAGGGGUCUUCCGUGGCUGAGACAGGUUCUGUGACUUGCAUUUGACUGAUGAAAUAUGGCAGAAGUGACACUGUGUGACUUCUGAAGCUUGUGCAGAAGAUGCUUUGCAUCAUCUUCCAGGAGUUCUUGAAACACUUUUUGGGACCCAGCUACCACAUAGUGAGAAGACCCAGCCACACACAGGUGCUCCAGUGGACAGCCCCAUCUGUGCUCCAAGCCAGCAUCAACUGCCAGCCUUGUGAAUGAACCACCUUGGACUUUCAGCCCCAUUGAGCCUGCAGACAACUCCAACCCUACAUACUGCAUGACUGCAGUAGGAUGAAAUAGAUAAACAGGCCCAGGGAGGUUUUGUGCCUAGCUUGAGUCAACACUGCUCUGGUGGUGGUCAGUCUCCUGCUGCUCGGUCCACAGUGCACACUAUUUCUGCUCUCUCUGGCUGGAGAGUCAGGGAAACUGUUGAGCCUACGAUAAUGAAGUCAAUUCUGAUCAACUGAGAUGCAGGAGGAACUCUGAGCAAGAUGAAGAAGGGGUGAAUGGUGACCUGUUCAGCCUGGCUGUUGGGCAUCCCCGGCUUUCAGCAGCACUGGAGGAAACGGAGCCAUGAUGGGCAACACACCAGGCAACAGCCGGGUCCUGCAAUGACUGGAAACUCAGCCAGCGGUUUCCAGGAGAUUCUCCACUCACCAGGAAAUUGCCCAGCUGAAUGGAGACAGGGAGUUGCUCCUCUGGUCCUCAGAAAGGAAAGAGAACCAGCAACGACUGCCUCUUCCACUGGCAUCUCUACCUGGUCAAAGAACCAACCAGUCACAAAAGAAAACCUUGGUGAACAUCAGUGGGGAGAAUGAAAUUAUGCUCAAUCAGCAGGAUGACCUCAAAAUGAUGAGGAAACAAGUUCACAGUGGAUUAGGAAUGUGCCUGAGUUCAUCCAGAGCCUGAAGAGGCCAUUGGUUCUAUGCCCCAAUGCCUGUAUAUAUGAUGGGACAGUGAAUCUGGGUGCUUUCUGUGCUCCAUGUGGAGAAGGUGAAGCAGUCACUCUUGUCAUCUCUCUAAAGAACUGAGUUGGAGCGCGUCUUUGGAUAGGAGCCGUGCUGCUGCUGACUGGGGAAGAGGUGUGGUCUAAUGGUGACUGAGCCUGCCAGAAUUUUGAAACAGACAGGUGUCCAGAUCAUCUUGGCUCAUCUGGAUUUUGGAUGCUUUGUCACUGAGAAGAUUAGGAAGAUGAGGCUCAGAAAAAUGAAGUGACAUACCUCUGAGUGAGGCAAAGCUGAGUCUGGUGACUCCAAACCGCAGUGAGCUGCUGCAUCCCUGGUGAUGAGACGGGCUUCCUGCUUUCAUACAAAGCUCUCGAGUCUUCUCCAAAGAGUACACCCAAGACCUUGCCCGGUAAAACUGGAUGACUUUCCUCAGGCAUAGGAAAGGUAACAUUCCAGGAAUGGAGGUUGAAGUCAAGAGAUUUAGGGGCACCAAGGGCAAACUUUCUACUUCACAGAUUUUCAAAGGACUGGCAUUCUGAGCAGCAUCAAGUAUGUUAGUAGCUGAGCCCAUUCGUGGUACUUCAUAAACACUCGAAUUCUUGAGACCCUCAUGUUCCACUCUUCUACAGUAUAUAGUUGGUUAAAAGUCCCCAUUUUUCUGGUAAUAGCAUUCUUGGAAAUUGUGCUUUGAGAUCAGUCCUUCUGGGAAAGGCAUAACCUACUGAAGAGGUACUGAGAAGAGUUGAAACCAUAAAUGUCGAGCUUACCCAGGAGAGUAAGUAUAAACCGCUUGCAUCUUUCAGGCUGAAUUAUAGCUUAUCAAGCACACAUUAAAACUUUAAGCCUUUUUUUCCUUAAGUAAGAAUAAAUCUAAGUUGACUAUUCCAGCAUAUGUAUUUGUUUUCCCUACACUGUCUAUAAACCAUGUCCAAGGUGAGUAUUUAUAAGCCUGAGCGAAAACUAGACAAACAAUUCUGAGAAUAAGUGACAACUAUAACAGUUCGUGAUAAGACAGUCACAACAAAGGAAAUGCUAUGCAUUAAGUGAUUUUUCUUGCAAAUCCUUUAUACAUAUGUCAGGCUGUGUGCUGGCAGAGUGAAAGAGAAUAAAUCAAAGGGAAUACACGUGUAAGAAAGGGUUUUUAGGCAAACGCUGUCUUGCAUGCAUAAAUCAAAUAAAUAGUGAUUUAAAAAAAAACCCAAAGGAACAGGAUAGUUUCUAUGGAAUUUUACACAAUUAAGUUAUUUAGUAGUUGCACAACAAUUUGUAUUUAUGGAGCACUUUACAAUUAUUUGUUCAUUAAAUCUUAUGACAUUUCUGGCAAGCAGGUCUAUACCAUCAGUUUAAUUUUAUAGUCAAGGUAGAUGAAGCAAGGAAUUGUAAAGGAGCUUUCUGAAGGUUGCACAGCUAGGUUUGAGCAGGACUUACUUUAGAACUCUUGCUUCCACAAUCUUGAGUUGCAGUCCUGGGUGGAUGUUCAGUUGCCUCUUAGCUCCCUUCUAGAGGAGGGAUGAGUCAUGAGGCAUACCUGGACAUCCAGAGAAGGGUGUUUGUUAAAGGCAGUAGCUCCUGGCAGUUAAUCUAGAAGCACCAGUGUUUGGUAUUGGCAUUAGCAUUGCAGCUGGAAUAUGGACCCAUUGGCAUGUUGACACAUGUGUAUAUGAUACAAACACUCAUCUGCAAUAGAGCCUCAUUUGAGAUGUUCAUAUUGGUAGUCUAAAGCUGUAAUUAGCCCAGGGCAUGAUACCUGGCAGGGGGGUGUGCUUUAAAAAUAAACUAAUGCCCCAGGAUGAAUUGAAUCUAUGAGACUAGGGCUUGGACAGGGAUAUUUUCAAAGAGUGACCAGGUUUUUCUGACUUGUGGUCAGAGUUGAGAACCACUGGUAUAAAAAUCCUUCCAUGUCUGUAGCAGUUUGGCAGUUUGUUCACUGCAAAAAGACAGAUGACGGAGCGACUAGUGAGGGCUCAAACUCAGCUCACACACAGUGUGCCCUAAUUUUGAGGUGGCUUUUGUUCUCAGAAAAAGUGUCACCUAUUGUCUAAUUCCCACCAAGGAAGCCCCAAGUCAUUCCCUUACUCUUGUAUAUGCAUUAUUGUAUAUCCUACGUAUUUCAUUUUCAGCUUAUUUUCACUCCUGCAUGCUUAGAACUUGAUAUACAAGAGGAUACAGCAACAAAACCAUCACAGUCUUGUCCCUAUAGAGUCCACAGUCUGUUGAGAAGAAAAGCGACAGAACAGGGAGCUCCACAACAUGGGAAGUGCUCCAGUAGGCAUGAGUGCAAGAAGCUGGGGAGGACAUUGGAUGGGCACUCCACCCAGACCUGGGGCACCAAGGGACCUUGUAAUGGAGGUGGUAUAAAAGGGAAGGAGUAGCAUUCAUAGCUGAAUGGCAGCAUUUGAAAAAACCUGGAAUUGAGAGACACUGAGGAUUACUGGGGAACUGGCAGUGGUUCAGCCCUUCCUGAUGGAGGGUGGAGGGAAUAAAAGCUGGAGGGGGAGCUGGGAGUGCAGCAAGUUGUCCCAGUCUUCCAACAGCUGGGAUGGCCACUUGCAAGCCUAAUUACUGUACUGGGCUCCUCAGUCUUAUCUUUCUCUUUCCAUCUUUCCUCUCUCCCUAGGUCCCACCUUCUUUUCAGAUACAGUCCUGAAAAGAAGAGCAGAAAGCACCAAUUCCAAGUGUACUCUACUUCCUGUAAUCUCCAGCUCUAGGUACUGAAAAGAAACAAAAAGCUUGGUAGCAGGCAAAGGAACAAACACUUGUAGGGAUGCAGAUGUCCCUGCCUCACUUGGUGCCACCUGGAAAAACCUCUAAUUGGCUCAAAUCCCUCCUUUCUUACCACUUUUAAUUGAUAUGCCUGGUCCUGAACUCACAUUCAACAUUCCCAUCCUAAUUCCUGGACUGGUGGGGGUGGCAUGGAGGUGGAAAAUGGGGUGGUAUGAAUGAAACAUGCUUGGGCAUGAACUCAUGAAAUUACUGAAGCUGGUGGUGAGUACAUGAGCAUUGACUAUACUAGCUCCUCUAUUUCUGAUUACGUUUGAAAUUUUCUAUUAUAAAACAAAGAAAAACGAACA